rnacentral:rRNA from 1 species
GGAAGUAAAAGUCGUAACAAGGUUUCCGUAGGUGAACCUGCGGAAGGAUCAUUAUUGAAAUAAACCUGAUGAGUUGUUGCUGGUUCUCUAGGGAACAUGUGCACACUUGUCAUCUUUAUAUUUCCACCUGUGCACCUUUUGUAGACUUGGAUAUCUUUCUGAAUGCAAAUUCAGGUUUUGAGGAUUGACUUUUCYUGUCUCUCCUUACAUUUCCAGGUCUAUGUUUCUUCAUAUACCCUAAUCUAUGUUAUAGAAUGUAAUAAGUGGGCCUCUGUGCCUAUAAAUCUUAUACAACUUUCAGCAACGGAUCUCUUGGCUCUCGCAUCGAUGAAGAACGCAGCGAAAUGCGAUAAGUAAUGUGAAUUGCAGAAUUCAGUGAAUCAUCGAAUCUUUGAACGCACCUUGCGCUCCUUGGUAUUCCGAGGAGCAUGCCUGUUUGAGUGUCAUUAAUAUAUCAACUUCUUCAAGUUUUUUUUUGCUUGUUGAGUGUUGGAUGUGGGGGUUUUGCUGGCCUUUUCUUUAAAGGUCAGCUCUCCUGAAAWUCAUUAGCGGAACARUUUGUUGACGGUUCAUUGGUGUGAUAACUAUCUAUGCUAUUGACCGUGGGACAAGUUCAGCUUCUAAUAGUCYAUUGACUUGGACAAAUUUUUAUUUAAUGUGACCUCAAAUCAGGUAGGACUACCCGCUGAACUUAAGCAUAUCA